UGGGGAAUAUUGGACAAUGGGGGAAACCCUGAUCCAGCAAUGCCGCGUGUGUGAAGAAGGCCUGAGGGUUGUAAAGCACUUUCAGUGGGGAGGAGGAGUGGCAGGUUAAGAGCUGGUCAAUUGGACGUUACCCACAGAAGAAGCACCGGCUAACUACGUGCCAGCAGCCGCGGUAAUACGUAGGAGGCCAGCGCUGUCCGGAGUUGUUGGGCGUAAAGGGCCCGCAGGCGGGUUCUUCAGGCUGAUGUG
rnacentral:rRNA from 1 species